rnacentral:misc_RNA from 1 species
AACUGAUACUACCUGCGGGAACCUGCGGAAGGAUCAUUAACCUUUCAAAAAACAGGGUGCGUCGCGGCCCCCCUCCGGGGGCGGUUUGGGGUCCUCCCCUUCACGCGCGCACGACUGCAUCCUUACUUUACGAGCACCUUCUGUUCUCCCUCGGCGGGGCAACCUGCCGUUGGAACCGAAUAAACCCUUUUUUGCAUCCAGCAUUACCCGUUCCGAAACAAACAAUCGUUACAACUUUUA